rnacentral:rRNA from 1 species
AGAACGAACGCUGGCGGCGUGCUUAACACAUGCAAGUCGAACGCGAAAGUACCGCUUCGGUGGUACAAGUAGAGUGGCGCACGGGUGAGUAACGCGUAGGUAAUCUACCCUUAUAUUUGGGAUAACAUACCGAAAGGUCUGCUAAUACCGGAUACGCUUAAUUAUACGCGAGUAUGAUUAAGGAAAGGUAACCACUGAUAUAAGUUAUCGUAUAAGGAUGAGCCUGCGUACCAUUAGCUUGUUGGUGGGGUAACGGCCUACCAAGGCAACGAUGGUUAGCGGGUCUGAGAGGAUGAUCCGCCACACUGGAACUGGAACACGGACCAGACUCCUACGGGAGGCAGCAGUGAGGAAUAUUGCGCAAUGGGGGAAACCCUGACGCAGCGACGCCGCGUGGGUGAUGAAGGCUUUCGGGUCGUAAAGCCCUGUCAAGUGGGAAGAAGUGCAUAUAGGUAAAUAGUCUGUAUGUUUGACGGUACCACUAGAGGAAGCACCGGCUAACUCCGUGCCAGCAGCCGCGGUAAUACGGAGGGUGCGAGCGUUGUUCGGAAUUACUGGGCGUAAAGGGCGCGUAGGCGGCUAUGUAAGUCGGAUGUGAAAGCCCACGGCUCAACCGUGGAAGAGCAUCUGAAACUGUAUGGCUUGAGUAUGGGAGGGGAAAGUGGAAUUCCCGGUGUAGAGGUGAAAUUCGUAGAGAUCGGGAGGAACACCUGUGGCGAAGGCGACUUUCUGGACCAAUACUGACGCUGA